CAGGGAGACCCUUAAUAUACACUAAUUAAAAAAUUACAAUUUAGGUCUCAAGUUUCCCAGGAAGGGAUGCACUCUGUGAUGAGAGAAUUUAGCUGUGAUACGAAUGUGUGAGAAAGCCUCCGUGAAGGAGAAAGGGAGAGAAGGCGCUGGGCUGGCAACUUCGGGAAGGAGUGGAAUCGGCAAGACUAAAGGCAGAAGGAAGUGUCCCCAAGCACCGGACUCUGGUUGAUAAAGCUGCUUUCCACAGGGGGCGGGGAGUGCCGGUCUGAUGUCAUGGUGUCAUCACACACGCAGGAGAGGCCUGAUGAAGGUCCCGAGGACGAGAUGCAGGCGGGCCCCAAGAGCGGCCGCUUCUGUCCCCAGAGGAAGAAGACGGAGGGGAAGGCCCUUAUCCCCUCGCAGGUGCCCACGACUGGUGUGACGUGUGCUGCGGUGUUGGAUUUGGCUGCCGAGCUGAGGGGCGCAGCCACCCUUCUGCCUGCCGCCCCGUGGCCUGGAAGGAAGUCUCCAUGCAGCCCACACCUGCGUGCUGGCGACUGUAGUCCUCCUCGAGGGGGCGUCCACGUGGGGCCUCCGAGUCUUCUGCAGAGACGUCUGUCUCUUCUUCCCCUCUGUGUGUGGUCACCUGUUUGUCACUUGUUUAUAUCAAUGGGAAGUUUUUGAAUUUUUGCUACGCUGCG
rnacentral:lncRNA from 1 species